rnacentral:rRNA from 1 species
UACGUAGGGGGCUAGCGUUGUCCGGAAUCAUUGGGCGUAAAGCGCGUGUAGGCGGUCCGGUAAGUCCGCUGUGAAAGUCGGGGGCUCAACCCUCGAAUGCCGGUGGAUACUGUCGGGCUAGAGUGCGGAAGAGGCGAGUGGAAUUCCUGGUGUAGCGGUGAAAUGCGCAGAUAUCGGGAGGAACACCAGUGGCGAAGGCGACUACCUGGCCUGUUCUUGACGCUGAGGCGCGAAAGCUAGGGUAGCAAACGGG